rnacentral:rRNA from 1 species
GUGAGGAAUAUUGGACAAUGGGCGCAAGCCUGAUCCAGCCAUGCCGCGUGCAGGAAGACGCAUCUAUGGUGUGUAAACUGCUUUUGUACGGGAAGAAACACUCCCUCGUGAGGGAGCUUGACGGUACCGUAAGAAUAAGGAUCGGCUAACUCCGUGCCAGCAGCCGCGGUAAUACGGAGGAUCCAAGCGUUAUCCGGAAUCAUUGGGUUUAAAGGGUCCGUAGGCGGUUUAAUAAGUCAGUGGUGAAAGCCCAUCGCUCAACGAUGGAACGGCCAUUGAUACUGUUAGACUUGAAGUACAAGGAAGUAACUAGAAUAUGUAGUGUAGCGGUGAAAUGCUUAGAUAUUACAUGGAAUACCAAUUGCGAAGGCAGGUUACUACUUGUGGAUUGACGCUGAUGGACGAAAGCGUGGGGAGCGAACAGGAUUAGAAACCCUGGUAGUCC